UACGGGGGGGGCAAGCGUUGUUCGGAAUUACUGGGCGUAAAGGGCUCGUAGGUGGCCAACUAAGUCAGACGUGAAAUCCCUCGGCUUAACCGGGGAACUGCGUCUGAUACUGGAUGGCUUGAGUUCGGGAGAGGGAUGCGGAAUUCCAGGUGUAGCGGUGAAAUGCGUAGAUAUCUGGAGGAACACCGGUGGCGAAGGCGGCAUCCUGGACCGAAACUGACGCUGAGGAGCGAAAGCCAGGGGAGCAAACGGG
rnacentral:rRNA from 1 species